rnacentral:rRNA from 1 species
GACGAACGCUGGCGGCGUGCUUAACACAUGCAAGUCGAGCGGUAAGGCCCUUUCGGGGUACGACGAGCGGCGAACGGGUGAGUAACACGUGGGUGACCUGCCCUUAGCUCUGGGAUAAGCCUGGGGAAACUAGGGUCGUAAUACCGGAUAUGACCUCAUGACUCAUGUUGUGGGGUGGAAAGCCUUGUGCGGCUAGGGAUGGCCCGCGGUCUAUCAGCUUGUUGGUGGGGUAAUUGCCUACCAAGGCGACGACGGGUAGCCGGCCUGAGAGGGCGACUGGCCACACUGGGGAC